ensembl:lncRNA
CUUUAGUUUAGUAUCCAGUUAUAACACAUGACUUUAGUUUAGUAUCCAGUUAUAACACAUGACUUUAGUUUAGUAUCCAGUUAUAACACAUGAAUUGAGUUUAGUAUCCAGUUAUAACACAUGACUUUAGUUUAGUAUCCAGUUAUAACACAUGACUUUAGUUUAGUAUCCAGUUAUAACACAUGACUUUAGUUUAGUAUCCAGUUAUAACACAUGACUUGAGUUUAGUAUCCAGUUAUAACACAUGACUUGAGUUUAGUAUCCAGUUAUAACACAUGACUUUAGUUUAGUAUCCAGUUAUUACACAUGACUUUAGUUUAGUAUCCAGUUAUAACACAUGACUUUAGUUUAGUAUCCAGUUAUUACACAUGAAUUGAGUUUAGCAACAAAAGCACAUGUAUAGAACAUGUAUGGACAUGUGUUUCAGGGACUUCAGGAGAACAACACAACAGACAACAGACAACGGUUCUGCAGGUAGUGGAGAACAACACAACAGACAACACAGACAACGGUUCUGUAGGUAGUGGAGAACAACACAACAGACAACACAGACGGUUCUGCAGGUAGUGGAGAACAACACAACAGACAACACAGACAACGGUUCUGUAGGUAGUGGAGAACAACACAACAGACAACACAGACAACGGUUCUGCAGGUAGUGGAGAACAACACAACAGACAACAGACAACGGUUCUGCAGGUAGUGGAGAACAACACAACAGACAACACAGACAACGGUUCUGUAGGUAGUGGAGA